rnacentral:rRNA from 1 species
GUAACGGGUGAGGAACACGUGAGAAACCUGCCUUUCAUUCUGGGAUAGCACCGGGAAACCGGUGCUAAUACCGGAUACUCCGUCUUGGCGGCAUCGCCGAGCCGGGAAAAAAUUUUGAUGAAAGAUGGUCUCGCGGCCUAUCAGCUAGUUGGUGAGGUAAUGGCUCACCAAGGCGACGACGGGUAGCCGGCCUGAGAGGGCGACCGGCCACACUGGGACUGAGACACGGCCCAGACUCCUACGGGAGGCAGCAGUAGGGAAUAUUGGGCAAUGGGCGCAAGCCUGACCCAGCGACGCCGCGUGAGGGAUGAAGGUCUUCGGAUUGUAAACCUCUUUCAGUAGGGAAGAAGCGAAAGUGACGGUACCUAAAGAAGAAGCACCGGCUAACUAUGUGCCAGCAGCCGCGGUAAUACAUAGGGUGCAAGCGUUGUCCGGAAUUAUUGGGCGUAAAGAGCUCGUAGGUCGUUUGUCACGUCGAUUGUGAAAAUCUGAGGCUCAACCUCAGACCUGCAGUCGAUACGGGCAAACUAGAGUGUGGUAGGGGAGACUGGAAUUCCUGGUGUAGCGGUGGAAUGCGCAGAUAUCAGGAGGAACACCAAUGGCGAAGGCAGGUCUCUGGGCCAUAACUGACACUGAGGAGCGAAAGUGCGGGGAGCGAACAGGAUUAGAUACCCUGGUAGUCCGCACCGUAAACGGUGGGCACUAGUUGUGGGAACCUUCCACGGUUUCCGCGACGCAGCAAACGCAUUAAGUGCCCCGCCUGGGGAGUACGAUCGCAAGAUUAAAACUCAAAGGAAUUGACGGGGCCCCGCACAAGCAGCGGAGCAUGCGGCUUAAUUCGACGCAACGCGAAGAACCUUACCAAGGCUUGACAUAUAGCGAAAAGUGGCAGAGAUGUCAUGUCCGCAAGGGCGCUAUACAGGUGGUGCAUGGUUGUCGUCAGCUCGUGUCGUGAGAUGUUGGGUUAAGUCCCGCAACGAGCGCAACCCUCGUUCUGUGUUACCAGCAUUUAGUUGGGGACUCACAGGAGACUGCCGGGGUCAACUCGGAGGAAGGUGGGGAUGACGUCAAAUCAUCAUGCCCCUUAUGUCUUGGGCUGCACGCAUGCUACAAUGGCCGGUACA